rnacentral:piRNA from 1 species
UAACUGAGGUCUGGUGGGAGCCAUGGA